AGCAGCCGCAGUAAUUCCAGCUCCAAUAGUGUAUAUUUAAGUUGUUGCAGUUAAAAAGCUCGUAGUUGAAUUUCGGGGUCAGUAGAUUGGUCGUGCCACUGGUAUGUACUGGUCUCACUGGCUCCUCCUUCCUGAUGAACCGUAAUGCCAUUAAUUUGGUGUUGCGGGGAGACUGGACUGUUACUUUGAAAAAAUUAGAGUGUUUAAAACAGGCUAACGCUUGAAUACAUUAGCAUGGAAUAAUGAAAUAGGACGUUCGAUCUUAUUUUGUUGGUUUCUAAGAUUGACGUAAUGAUUAAUAGGGAUAGUUGGGGGCAUUAGUAUUCAAUUGUCAGAGGUGAAAUUCUUGGAUUUAU
rnacentral:rRNA from 1 species